GACGAACGCUGGCGGCGUGCCUAAUACAUGCAAGUAGAACGCUGAAGCGAGGAGCUUGCUCUUCUUGGCUGAGUUGCGAACGGGUGAGUAACGCGUAGGUAACCUGCCUGGUAGCGGGGGAUAACUAUUGGAAACGAUAGCUAAUACCGCAUAAAAUGGAUUAUCGCAUGAUAAUCCAUUGAAAGGUGCAAAUGCAUCACUACCAGAUGGACCUGCGUUGUAUUAGCUAGUUGGUGGGGUAACGGCUCACCAAGGCGACGAUACAUAGCCGACCUGAGAGGGUGAUCGGCCACACUGGGACUGAGACACGGCCCAGACUCCUACGGGAGGCAGCAGUAGGGAAUCUUCGGCAAUGGACGGAAGUCUGACCGAGCAACGCCGCGUGAGUGAAGAAGGUUUUCGGAUCGUAAAGCUCUGUUGUAAGAGAAGAACGAGUGUGAGAGUGGAAAGUUCACACUGUGACGGUAUCUGACCAGAAAGGGACGGCUAACUACGUG
rnacentral:rRNA from 1 species